GUUAUAUGGUCAAGUGAAGAAGCGCAUACGGUGGAUGCCUUGGCAGUCAGAGGCGAUGAAAGACGUGGUAGCCUGCGAAAAGCUUCGGGGAGUCGGCAAACAGACUUUGAUCCGGAGAUGUCUGAAUGGGGGAACCCAGCCAUCAUAAGAUGGUUAUCUUACGCUGAAUACAUAGGCGUAAGAGGCGAACCAGGGGAACUGAAACAUCUAAGUACCCUGAGGAAAAGAAAUCAACCGAGAUUCCCUUAGUAGUGGCGAGCGAACGGGGACUAGCCCUUAAGUGGCUUUGAGAUUAGCGGAACGCUCUGGAAAGUGCGGCCAUAGUGGGUGAUAGCCCUGUACGCGAAAAUCUCUUAGUCAUGAAAUCGAGUAGGACGGAGCACGAGAAACUUUGUCUGAAUAUGGGGGGACCAUCCUCCAAGGCUAAAUACUACUGACUGACCGAUAGUGAACUAGUACCGUGAGGGAA
rnacentral:rRNA from 1 species